AGCUUGCCGCAGGAUUCAGAGGCUGUAGGUCCCGUGCUUUAAUUAAAAGAACGAAGCUCGUGACUUCAGCUCCAGCAUCCGUGGCAGCU
ensembl:miRNA gga-mir-1703 gga-mir-1703